GAUGAACGCUGGCGGCGUGCCUAAUACAUGCAAGUCGAGCGAACGGACGAGAAGCUUGCUUCUCUGAUGUUAGCGGCGGACGGGUGAGUAACACGUGGAUAACCUACCUAUAAGACUGGGAUAACUUCGGGAAACCGGAGCUAAUACCGGAUGAUAUUUUGAACCGCAUGGUUCAAAAGUGAAAGACGUCUUGCUGUCACUUAUAGAUGGAUCCGCGCUGCAUUAGCUAGUUGGUAAGGUAACGGCUUACCAAGGCAACGAUGCAUAGCCGACCUGAGAGGGUGAUCGGCCACACUGGAACUGAGACACGGUCCAGACUCCUACGGGAGGCAGCAGUAGGGAAUCUUCCGCAAUGGGCGAAAGCCUGACGGAGCAACGCCGCGUGAGUGAUGAAGGUCUUCGGAUCGUAAAACUCUGUUAUUAGGGAAGAACAUAUGUGUAAGUAACUGUGCACAUCUUGACGGUACCUAAUCAGAAAGCCACGGCUAACUACGUG
rnacentral:rRNA from 1 species